GCAUUGGUGGUUCAGUGGUAGAAUUCUCGCCUGCUAAGCGGGAGAUAGGGGUUCAAUUCCCUGUCAAUGCA
rnacentral:tRNA from 1 species